UUUGCGGUUUCCAAUGCUAGAAUGCAUACAUGUCUAACAUUCUUCCUUUUCUCUCUCCCUCUCAAAAUUUGUCCAAAUACCUCUUUUCCUAUUAUCUAUCAUUACUUUCUUUUCUCUCUCCCACUCCAACUCUUACUUUUCUCUAUCCAACUUUAUCCUCUCAGAAAUCUUCAUCUUCUUUAACAUCAGCUCAUAUGUUAAGCCUUCAAAUAAUGGCAAGACCGUUUGAGAAGAUUGUCGAAAUUAAUGACGGGAAAUAGUUAUGGAAAAUUGCAGUGAAAAUACAUCACAUAUGGACCGUUCUAUCUAACAACAAAGAACACCUGGAGCUAAUAUCUAUUGAUGCAGACGGGACAUAUAUUCAUGUUGUGGUACCAACUGCGUUGAAAGCAACCUUUGAUUCAGUUUUUGUGAUAAACAACACUUACAUUGUUAUGAACUUCCUGCCUCAAACCAAUGAUCUCAUGUUCAAAACUUUGGAACAUUCAUUCAUCAUAAGGUUUAUAGCUGGAACAUCUGUCUCUGAUUUAAACAAGCAUGAAAUUCUUGGAAAACGGUUAAACUUCAAACCUUUUGCUGACAUUAUUUCUGGAAGAUGGAAUAAGGAUUUCUUAAUAGAUGUUAUUGAACUGGUUGAAAAGAUUGAGUAUACCCAAAUGUGUGCCGGAAGCAAGAAGCAACAAGUCAACCUCAUAUUAAAAGACCUUGGAGACCUAUGUUGUGAAAUUCAUGAACUACAUGCAAAAGAACAAAGAUGGUGGUCCUACAAUUAUAUUAUUACAGUAUGCGAAAGUGAAGGCGGGAGGGAAGUAUUUAUUGUUUGUUUCGAAUACAUACAAUAUCACCAAUCUGGUCAUUAAUGAAGACGUGCUUGAUAUUGUUGAAUUUCUAAAUAGUUGGCAUGGUGUAUCACUAUAGCAACUACUAAGAAACUUAAAGCAACAGGAAACGGUUGGUACUACCCGACAUGCUACAAUUUUCCAAAAGUAGCUAAAGACAAUUCUCCAUCAUAUGUAUGUUCUAAUGGCCAUUCAAUCGAGACCGAAAUUUAUAGGUACAAAAUCAAGAUUGCAGUUGUUGAUAAUGAAAGUAUUGCCAUCUUUUGUGUUUUGGGACCGUGAAUGUUCCGAAUUGUUAGAAAUCUCUGUUGCUUGACUCCGUCAAACAAUGGUUGAGGCUGGUGUUGAUGAUCCACUUGAAUUUCCGUUAGUCCAUGAUAAAUUACUUGGUCAUCAAUUUGCAUUCAAAAUUAAAUGGCAACCAAGGUGGAAAAAUGUAAGUGUCAUGCUGGUUAAACAGGACAAAGAAACCAUUGAUAAAUUACUACAAUAAUGGGAUGUUUCUACGGUAUUUCACAAACACAUACUUACGUUGUUUAUAUUGUAUACAUCUUUAUUAAGACAAAUAAGGGUGUACAUGGAUUGGGUCAACCCACAAAACCUAGUCAAACCCACCCCAAAAAAUCCAAAAAAGUGGGUUGGAUCGGGUAAUUUGGUGGAUAUGGAUUUAAAAACUAAAAAAUCCAUUAAAAAAAUUAGGUUUCGGGUAAAACCGGAUCCAAACCCAAAAAACUCAUUGACCCACUAAUCAAACAUUUACUAUUACAAUUUUAAUGAUUCUGAUGAAUAUUAACUUAGUUCUAGCAAUUUUAAUCUCUUAAUAUUUAUUAUUUUAGUGAUUCAUGACUUUAACUAA